UAUAGGCAUGAGCCACUGCACCCGGUCAAGAAAAUUCGUUUUUAAGAGCUAACAUACACCAAGAUAUACAAUUCUAGGCAUGCAUUUGUGUGCAUGCACAGUGCUAAGUUCUGAAAUGUAGUUCAUGUUGGAUGAACCAGGUCUGCCUACCUACAGAAUGGAAACUUACCAUAACUAAUUGAUGAAUUAGAACCACAGAGAAGCAGGAAGGCUUUGUGAUGAGCUGUCUUCCCUACACCCAGCUAGGGACAUCCCUUCUGUGAAAAGAUCUCUCCGCAUGGUCCCACACGGCUUGACUAGAGUAAGGGAUGCUGAUGAUCACAAUUAAGUCCGCACGUAGAAUGACAUGCUAUCCUAUUAGAUUUAGACAGAAAUGGUACAGGCUAGGUAAAUUUUGCUGUGGCUACAGAACUAUGGCAGACGGACCAAGAAGGAUUCUAGAUUGCUCAAACGUUGGAUCAGGAUCGGACUUCUUAUAGGAUGGCUGCUAAAUUUCACAGAGGAAAUCUAUAUCCAGCCUGUUUACCUGCUGUCAAAGUGAGCAUUCAAAGGGAUACCCCAGUGGCCCCCCCACUUCCAGGCCUCCUGGCAAGUCAUGCCUCCAAGUUAUUGGUGGCAUCCUGCAGCUCUCCACUGACAGCAAUGCUUCUUCAGACUGCGUCUGCAUAAUCUUGUAGUGCUGGUUCAAGACUGGGCCACCAAGGACUCAGCUGAGAACAUAACCCAAGAGGUCACCAAAGAGGUGUUGCCACCUUUAUGUGGUCCCCUUCGGGAUGGAGGAUUUCUUUAAUGUUAUUAAAUAUCAUUGCUGGUCAGAAUAUUCUUGAACCCUAUGGCAAACGUCUCUCCCUUGAGAGUGGAUUUGAUUCUUGGACAGAGCCAGUGGCCAACAUGUGAGUUGGGGAAAUGUAAUUUCUAAACAAAAAACAAGGUGAGAGUGCAAGAGGAGAAGGUUGUUUCUUUCGUGUGGUUUGUCGACAGGCUCUGAAGGGUACUGCUUUUGAGUCGCUGCAGCACCUCAGGACCAAACGCCAAGUGCGCCAAAGAGACCUGGCAUGACAGCUAUUUUUUGUUUGUAUAGGUUCUGGUGAUGAAACCACAUACCCCGUCAUUCAGGUCCACAUCUCCCAGCAGCAAAACAUAUGCAUCAAAGUCGAGUUUCAGGACAAAGGUCCUCCUUGGAGGACCCCAGGACAGGCACAAUCAAGGGGAAACAUAGUCUUGGCUUUGAGUUAAACUGGCAGACACUUGUCUCUGAAGUUUUUGGUGUAACAGAGUAGGAAACAAAGUCAUUUAGAAAGUCAAGUCUCCUAGAGCCUGUGUGUAAGAAUUGCUUCUCAACAAGCCACAUCACAGAUUUAUUUGGAGAUUUCCAAAUGUUUCUUGGUAUGUAUAUAAAGCAUAUAUUUUCAUAAGAAAAAUAAUUAUCUGCCUUUUAGGCAGUUGUUCUUUUUGUAUAUUGGAUAGCAAAUAGAUUGUCCCUUUGAAAGCAUCCAUUAGAUAGAUCUACUUUCAGACACUGAGGCAAAGGCCUCAGGCACAAAACAAAGAGUCAGGGGCCCAGAGGAUCACAAAACUGGCCAAGCCCUUCCCUGACACAAAUGCACUGGAAGAAAACAUGAACCCAUUGUUAAAAUUAAUACUAGGAUUGCAGGAUGUUCUUUAAUCUGCAUGAUUGCUUUAUUGUACAAAAAGUUUCCAGUAACAGUAAAUUGGUUUUAAAAAAGGACAAAAAAGUCAUUUUGGAUAGAAGCGCUUCACUAAUUGCUUUAUUUAAGCAUACAAGAAAAAAAGUUUUAUCUGACCAAUUACGUUGGAAGGGUUUUAUUACCUUUAAGAAGCCAUUAGCUAGGAUAAAACACUGAAAGCACUUGUGUCAAAACAAAUAAAUAAGGUAAAUAACGCUCUCUCAAUUAGCACAGAAAACAGUGAAUCCGUUAAAUCAGAGACUUCACAAGCAUGGCCCAGCCAGCACCACCACCCCCAAAACGAACAAAACAAGGACAGCAGUUUUCAGUUACAAUCUUGGGAAAGAUCAGGAGCUUUGGAAAAUGCAUGGUAAACAUGUCUGUUUCUCCUUCUACCUCCACUCAACCUGAGCCGCCCCCGGACACUUUAAAGGAGGCAUGUGUCCAGAGGCUGCGUCCAGGGAUGCCCAGAGGGAGCCUGCCCUGCUAGGCCUCCUCUCAGAGGGUGCAUCCCAGGCAGAGGAGACUGGCCUGGAUGAUCGCUACCUCCAUGGCCCAACAGAGUGCGGAAAAGCAUGAGGUGCCCACAGACAAUGGCUGCCAGUGAGUAAAGGGAAAGAAACCCUGAGGUACCAUGAUUCUUUUCUCUUACUUCCUCAAAUGCUACUGAUCUCCCCCCAAGUACAGGCUCAACAGAAAAAUACAGUGGUUUGAGGACCCCAAGAAGUCAGCACACAGGCCUGGGGCCAGCUCCAGGCUGGGUCUGUCUCUCUCCCACCUUGGGAAACCCAGCGCCCUGGCUUCAGGUGGAAUGGGACAGUUCUCCCACCACCCAGACAGGAUCCUUAAAACAAUUUCUUUUUUUUUUUUUUUUUGAGAUGGAGUCUCGCUCUGUCACCCAGGCUGGAGUGCAGUGGUGUGAUCUCGGCUCACCGCAACCUCUGCCUCCCGGGUUCGGUUCUCCUGCCUCAGCCUCCUGAGUAGCUGGGAUUACAGGCGUGUCCCACCCGGCUAAUUUUUGUAUUUUUAGUAGAGACGGAGUUUCACCAUGUUGGCUAGGUUGGUCUCGAACUCCUGACCUCGUGACCGCCUUGGCCUCCCAAAUUCCGGGAUUACAGGCGUGAGCCACCGCGCCGAGCCCCUCCUUAAAACAGUUUCUAAUCAGAUCUGUUAUUUUACCCAAAUGGGUUGAGGGAACAAAAACCAACCCUCAUCACACUAUUUGGUGAAAAUAAAUAUAAAUAAAUGAUGAUCCUCUCUUAAAGGGUCACUUUCCUUCAGGGGUUUGUAAGACUCAGCACUUUAAAAAGCUUGAACAGAAAUCCAGUAUUGCCACUGUGGACUGUUUUUGAGGCAAGUUCCCUAAUUUGGACAGCCCCACUCCUAAGAGCAGCAGAUCUAACUUGGAACGAACGUCUCAACCAUGGGUGAAAAUCAGCUGGGAUGAAAGAACACCUGCAGUGACUCUCAACAGCUAUGGAAGUCUCACAUUGCAGGGCUGACUGAUGAGGUGCUGGCUUCUUAUCCUCCAGCCCUCUUUCCUAAACAAUGUUUGUCAGGGAAUACCAGGUCUGCUUCCUGAAAUGCCAGGGCCCCUCUAGGACCUUAUCAUUCCACAGCCACAUCAGUAAUAAGAAAACCACCAAUGGCUACCUGGAGGUGGCACCAACUUGGAAAGGGAAGGCUGGGCAGGGGUUUGGAUUUGGAUGUUAAGCCCAUGAGCUGUUUGGACAACUUCAAUCUCUGGAAUUGAGUUUAAAUUUCUGUAAACAACUUCAAAGUCAAUUCUAGAGAGACAUUUUAUGUGACUGGUCCAAAUAAAACAUAGCACAUUUAAUGAGGUCAUAUUCUUCUUAAACUUUUUAAGAGAAGCAAAAA